UUUCGAUUUUUAUUGAACUCAAGAAUGCUUCUUCAGUUUCUCAGGUUGAUUUGAAGGAACUUUUUUACCCAAAAAAGCUAGGGUUUCCUGGUGAGUUUUUCGUGCCCUUUUUGAGUUCGAUUGGAAUCCGUUUUUAACCCACAUAACCUAACGUUUUCUGGUGAGUUUUGCGGCUUUUUUAGUGUGCCUGAUUUAAAUUUUUUUGGUGAUUUGCGUGUGGCUGUCUGAUCUGGUUUGAUUUUUGCUGUCAGGAAACGUUGGUCUUCGAAUAUUGGGGUUUUUGUGUGUGCAAGCCCUUUGUGAUCAAGGUUCCCAUACUGCAGGGGUUUGGAGCCUUGCACUCAUCAAUAUCUGAACAGAAAAAGAAUGAAUUAAAUCCAUGAACAACAGAUUUAUUUACCUUGGCAACCAUCUGGGAGGUAUGGGUUCCCUUCGUAACCUGACCAGCACUGGCAUAUGUAGCCUGAAGAACGAUUAUGGCAGGAGCUAUUUGCCUUGCAUGCAAAAGUGCUCUCGUUUUUAGCUGCAAUAUCACAUGACUCAUUCCCAAUUACCCAAUCAAUAAUUGCCGGAAGCUGGGUUGUAACGUUUAGUUCUCGAAAACUCGUGCUGUUAAAGUUGAACUCGCUUUCUUGCACAAGGAACGCGUAGCUGCAUCGGUGGGAGUCCCGCACAUCCGUAUAAUUGUAAAAACUUCCCAAGGUCACAGACCCAUUUUGCAGCCCACUGGGGACUUUAGUUUGGCAACAUCCAACGCCAGAGCAAGUAUCCCGCUGAUCGAUAGCGUUGCCAAGAUCGGCACAUUGGGACAUACACCCGGUUGUGUACUCUUCUUCACCCCGGUAACCUAUAAAAAACGCAUAUGUGUCGCAUCCAACUGCAACGAACAUGUUUUUGGUUUUGGAGAUGCUGCAAGGAGGAGGCACACUGAGCUCGGGACUGUUCGAUCUGGUCGAGUUGCCUUGAGCAUUGUAACAAUCACUGGCUGCGAACUGUAGUAUUUGGAGCUCACCGUUAUAAAGAGAUAUGUUGGUAAUUUUGACAUCGCUCGUCAUCCAAAGUGUUGUUGGCUGUUGAGUGGAAAUGUUACAAGUGAUGUUAAACCGGUCUUCGAGGUAGCAACCAUCGCCUAUGCCAAAUGGGUAUGGAAUUGUGAGAUUACCACAAUGGUCAGGGCAGCCAGGCAGUGCCUGAGGCGGAAGGAGAGAUUGAGCUGUUGUUGGAGUUGGAGUUGCUAGUAAAAUUGUAACUUCUACCACCAUUACUAAAGAGAGAUGCAAAAUAUGCAUCCUCCAAUGUAACGCCAUAUGGUAUUAACUGAAAAGUGUCGAGCAGAUCCUAGCAGUAGCAGAGAAUAAAAUCCAAGCAAGUGAUGGAUCCAAGAAAUUAAGGAACUGCUAAUUAAGAAGGUUGGCCUUCUGUAGGAAUAUAUUAUAUAUGGAAGGGAUUAAAACGCGUGGUGGAAUAUUUUGGGUUGGGGGAAAAUGUGUCCUACUCUUAAUUGUCUGUUAUUGUUUUAGUCCACGAUUAGGCUUUGUCCCAUGUAUUUCCAGGAAAUGCACAAGAAAACAUCCACCUGACUUGGUAUUAGUCAUUAGUCGAUACGCGUUGCCUCUUGAGCAUGGUUGGCCUUCUGUAGGAAUUAAUAUAAAAG
rnacentral:sRNA from 1 species